UACGUAGGGUGCAGGCGUUAAUCGGAAUUACUGGGCGUAAAGCGUGCGCAGGCGGUCUUUUAAGUCAGAUGUGAAAUCCCCGGGCCUAACCUGGGAACUGCGUUUGAAACUGGAAGGCUAGAGUGUGGCAGAGGGGGGUGGAAUUCCACGUGUAGCAGUGAAAUGCGUAGAGAUGUGGAGGAACACCGAUGGCGAAGGCAGCCCCCUGGGCUAACACUGACGCUCAUGCACGAAAGCGUGGGGAGCAAACAGG
rnacentral:rRNA from 1 species